rnacentral:misc_RNA from 1 species
AUAGAAGUAACAGCUGCUGACAUUGCCUUUUGAGUUCUCUACUAAAAGCAAUAAUGGCGGCUGCAAGUGCAACAGUGAGGGUAUCAGCAAACAACACUAUAACAGCUUCACUAAUAUCGAAAAGUCCUCUCCAAAAGCCCAGCAUUUUCCACCUAUGCUUCCGUAAUGGAGCUGCUGCUGCACAAAGGAAUCGACUUUUCAGUUGCAGUGCUAUUUACAAUCCCCAAAUUCAAAUCAAACAACACGGACAGCCUGAAACGUUGGAUUAUCGUGUAUUUUUUGCGGAAGAUUCCGGCAAAAAGGUAUCCCCUUGGCAUGAUAUACCACUUAACUUAGGUGAUGGUGUUUUCAAUUUCAUUGCUGAAAUUCCCAAAGAAUCAAGUGCAAAGAUG